AGUGAAAGAAUUAUUGAUUUGUUAUUAAAUAAAAUAUUAAAUGUUAAAUCAUUAAAUUUAUAAGAUUUGGCAGUAUUUUAAUUAAAUUAGAGGAAUCUGUGGUAUAAUUGAUGGUCCACGAUAAGAAUAACUUAAUAUUAUAACUUAUGUAUUGCUGUUUUAAAAAUUUUAUUAAGUAAAAUUUUUUAAUUAAAAUUUUAAUGUAAUUCAAGUCAAAAUAUAGUUUAUUUAAGAAAUUCAUGGAUUACAAUUUUUAUUAAUAAUGGAUAAUUUAAUUUAAAUUGAAUUUUAAAUUGGAUUUAAUAGUAAAUUUAAUAAAUUAAUUAAAUUGAAAUUGAUUUAAAAUAUGU
rnacentral:rRNA from 1 species